GAUGAACGCUGGCGGCGUGCCUAAUACAUGCAAGUCGAGCGAACAGACGAGGAGCUUGCUCCUCUGACGUUAGCGGCGGACGGGUGAGUAACACGUGGAUAGCCUACCUAUAAUACUGGGAUAACUUCGGGAAACCGGAGCUAAUACCGGAUAAUAUAUUGAACCGCAUGGUUCAAUAGUGAAAGACGGUUUUGCUGUCACUUAUAGAUGGUUCCGCGCCGCAUUAGCUAGUUGGUAAGGUAACGGCUUACCAAGGCGACGAUGCGUAGCCGACCUGAGAGGGUGAUCGGCCACACUGGAACUGAGACACGGUCCAGACUCCUACGGGAGGCAGCAGUAGGGAAUCUUCCGCAAUGGGCGCAAGCCUGACGGAGCAACGCCGCGUGAGUGAUGAAGGUCUUCGGAUCGUAAAACUCUGUUAUUAGGGAAGAACAAAUGUGUAAGUAACUAUGCACGUCUUGACGGUACCUAAUCAGAAAGCCACGGCUAACUACGUG
rnacentral:rRNA from 1 species